GUGUAUUUGAACUUUCCAAAAUUGCAUAAGAGUUUACAAUACAUACAGAGCAUGCUAGACAGGUUCCAGAACUGGUGUUGGUGUCACUAAAAGGUCUCACCAGCUGUUGUUGUCUUCGACCAUUUUGCUCUCUGCCUGUCGCCUCUUAAAUCAAGUACUGUCUAGUUCCAGUCGUAGUAUCAUCUGGAUAUCAUCAAGAAUGAUCUCUAUCUCCAUCCACUCAGUGGGAGAUGGUAAUCUGAUUUUUGGUUACGGAUCGAGAUGUGGGCUGGCAAACCGCAGCGGGAAUUCCUUCCCUUGACAGGGUGCCAGCCUCGAAUCGUGUUGAGAAACACUCGGUGGCAGAGCUGUGGCCGUUGCAUGGUCACGCUCGAGUGGUAAACAAGCAACCCGGGGUUCUGCCCUCUGAUUGGCUGGCGUAAGGGAGGCGGUAGAAGGCACCGAAGUCAUUUUAUGAAGUGCCUCCCCCACAAUGCGGCAAGAGAAGGAGUACGGGCGCUUUACCGAUUGGCCUUUUUUUUAGCUAGCAGUUUCCAUGUUCCCGAGAAAACAAGCAGAGACAAGACGGAGCUGGGGCAGUCAAUCCUGACUGACUGCCGACUACUUCCUGGACGCGUUUCAGCACUUCCCUGGCAUCCUAUUAGGUUGUUACUGCAACAACACUCAGAAAGUCUUGGUUGCAUCAUUGAGAUGGCUCGCAAUCAAAUGGACUGGAGCUGAAUACUGGCAUAAUGGGAGUAGGUGGGUGUGGAGACCAGUUUCACAAGUCUAAAUGUGUACCAUGAGAGCAAGUA